GACGAACGCUGGCGGCGUGCUUAACACAUGCAAGUCGAACGGAAAGGCCCUGCUUUUCUGGGGUGCUCGAGUGGCGAACGGGUGAGUAACACGUGAGUAACCUGCCCUUGACUUUGGGAUAACUUCAGGAAACUGGGGCUAAUACCGGAUAGGAGCUCCUGCUGCAUGGUGGGGGUUGGAAAGUUUCGGCGGUUGGGGAUGGACUCGCGGCUUAUCAGCUUGUUGGUGGGGUAGUGGCUUACCAAGGCUUUGACGGGUAGCCGGCCUGAGAGGGUGACCGGCCACAUUGGGACUGAGAUACGGCCCCGACUCCUACGGGAGGCAGCAGUGGGGAAUAUUGCACAAUGGGCGGAAGCCUGAUGCAGCAACGCCGCGUGCGGGAUGACGGCCUUCGGGUUGUAGACCGCUUUCGCCUGUGACGAAGCGUGAGUGACGGUAAUGGGUAAAGAAGCACCGGCUAACUACGUG
rnacentral:rRNA from 1 species